rnacentral:rRNA from 1 species
UACGGGGGGGGCAAGCGUUGUUCGGAAUUACUGGGCGUAAAGGGCUUGUAGGUGGCCAACUAAGUCAGACGUGAAAUCCCUCGGCUUAACCGGGGAACUGCGUCUGAUACUGGAUGGCUUGAAUCCGGGAGAGGGAUGCGGAAUUCCAGGUGUAGCGGUGAAAUGCGUAGAUAUCUGGAGGAACACCGGUGGCGAAGGCGGCAUCCUGGACCGGCAUUGACGCUGAGGAGCGAAAGCCAGGGGAGCAAACGGG